AUGGGAGGGAAAGAGGGAGAAGGUGAAGAAUGCAGGGAUUUUGUGAUGACUGGGGGCAGACAUUUCCCACAAAUAUUUUAUGGUUUGCUCACACCUUCACUGUGUGUGAAGCCAGUGGUUAGUAAUGACCGUACGACCCCAGAAAGCACAGUGACUCCAUUUGGAAACCGCAGGAGGUUUGCAGUGGAUGCCUGCUCCCAUGUGGAGCCUGCUGCCCUCACGGGGCAAGUCCUUGGUUUUAUUAAACGCAUCGUGACCUUGUGCAACUACAUCCCCCACGAGGGCCGGCUGACCUUUCCCUCCCCAUCUCACUGUAGCCUCCAUCUCCUUGUCAGCAGGACCAUGCGGCAUCACAUCGGAGCCCAUGGAACAGCUGAUGCACUGAUGAUGGAGUCGUGUUGCCUGCUGCUCUCUACAACUAAUCAUGAAAACAAUAACAAUAUUAAAAAAAAAAAAAAAAAAGCCACCAGCUACAGAGCCACGAGGAGCCAAGUGAUCACAAAGUGCUCCUUCCCCUGGCAUAACCUCACCACUUCUGGCAAACAGCUGUUGAGAAACUUCCAGAGAUGAAGACUGCAUGUGCAUCAUUAUUAUCAUUAUAUUGUGAUCAAUAGCUACCAGUGGUCUUAGCCUCCAGAAAUUUUUCAGAUCUCUCUGAAUUCAUUUAGGAUUUUGGCAUCCAAAACGUACCACAGACACGGUCUGCAUGGUUUUGUUAUCUAUGAUUUGGUUUUGGCUGGCAGUUUCUCCAAGUGUCCCCAGUUAGCUGCUUCUCAGAAAUCCUGCGGAAUCACUCCCCUCCCAGCCAGGCACGGGUUUCUACACCCCUGCUGUGCUCCAUUCUCAGCACAGAGGGGCAUGGGCAUGGCAGGAAGAAAGUUGGCAGGGCUUUGAGCUCGGUGGGAAGUAGGAGCUGCUGCUUUUGCAGAGCAGAAGAGCACAGCUGGGCUGGGCAGUCCUUCCUUCCCACCGUCCCAGUGAGCUGGUGGCCUCGUCGUGCCGCCCAUCCCUGCUCAUUUUGGUGCUGCACGCGGUCAAGAAGCAGCACCAGGAGUGUCCUCCACGAUCCCUCUUGUCUGAACGCUUGGCAGCUGCCACCCAAAGGCCUUGGGGGGACGAUGCUACUUGCGAUGGCAGCGCUCCUUUCCUUCAAAUCUGUGACGGGCGGCUUUGUGCAGGCUGCAGGCAAGCUGCAGCCCCAGAGGCUGCUUUGCCAGGGAGGUGCAUUUCACACAUGCUUUGCAGGUACAGGAUCACAGCCUGGCUUUGUAAAUGAACCCCCUGUGAUCAGAAACAGGAGCACCAGCUCUUCCCCAGCAACACAAGCCAGGCCCUGGUGUGGCUUGCUGCUGCCAGCCAGAGAUAGAGCUGCGAGAUACUGCGAGUGCUGCUUUUGAUCUGAGCUGUUAUUACGUGGCAGCACAUUGAAUUUGCAGUACAAAAACCGAGUGGCCUGAUCCUAGGCACAUUCCUACUCCGCCUGCCAGCGUGCUUGCAGUCGGGCCCGGCCCUGCGGCUCUCACCAAGGUGCCAUUUGCAGGCAGUUCACUGGGUGGGGAAGGCAAGGCAGAGAGCUGUGGCACUUACUGCUCUCCCCAUGCAAUCUCUAAUUUCCCCAUUCGCUUCAAUUUGCCCUGAGCACCUUUUUAAAGUGUGUUUCAAUUUACCUCUUUCAGAGCUUUGGCUGGCACUUAUCAUCCUCUGAGGGUGCUUAAUCAGCUCCUGUCUGAAUCCCCAGCUCUGUCAGGAUAACUAAUGUCCAGGUCUCCAACUAGCUGAAAAUUGUCGUCCCCCCUCCCUGAGCAUGUGACAUAUAAAGGGACUCUGUUUUCUUCAGUGGAUGUUUUUGUCUGGUAGGCAAAUGACCCCAGCUGGCUCGCACAGUAGGGUAUGGCUGCAGACACCUGCCCGCCUGCCCAGGGCAGGGGAGGUGUGGUGCGUUUUUGGGAUUAAAGCUGAGGGCUGUUGACCCCAUGGGGCGCUGCUCUUGUCGCAGAGGUGUUUUUCCCUCCAAACCGUUUGAUCCCAUCUUCUCCCAGGGCAGUUUCCAGAACAAAGUCACCCUGUCUCGGGAGCGCUGUCAGAUGUCCUUCCAAACCAUGCUGAAGCUCACUCCGGGCUGCAGGAGCCAAGCUGGCCGCACCUGGGAAGGCAAGGACCUCCAGGCACCCAAAGAUCGCUGGAGAUCCAGAACGGCUGCCCUGCACUGAUCUGAGCGUGCAGGGAGAAGGUAAUUAGUCGUCCUGAAGAAAUGAGUCAGGUCUCUCUGCUACUUAGGAAAGCACAAACCGGCCCGGCACUGACACGCGCUUGGUGCGUCCGGGCGUCGCGACUUUUUCCAAGCUGGUGGCAUGACAUGGGAGGUGAUAGGGAUCUCGCUGCAACGACACAAUCUCUAGUAAGGCCCAAUAUCUUGCUUUCCGCAUUAAAAUGAAAAGAAAAACUCUCUGUAGUUAGUAGCCAGGAGAUCUUCUGAAGUAGAAGCUGACUCUGAGUCAGUGCCAUAAAUGCCCGAGUCUGCACGCAGCCUGAGACAGCUGCCCUCUUCUCACUUGCCCUAUUUGUCUUGAUGCGUGGGUCAUGACACGGCCUCAAAACAGUGCCUCGAAGGUCAACAUCAACCUUUUUACAAGGGCGGUGAAGAAGAUGCCCCCCUCAUUUGUUCAGCCCACCCUUUCUGGGUGCACCCCGUGAAGCACAACCCACCAUCUGCUACAAAACUCCCCCAAACUUGGGAUUCCCCUCAUUUUCACCUACCGUUGCCUGCGGUCAGUGCAGAGCCGCGGCGCUUCCUGGAAGCGUAGGGACGGGGUCAGGUGGGUGGCAUUUGUCAGAAAAAUACCCAACCCGAGGUGUUUGGGCCUGGUGAUGCUUCUGUUCUCCCACCAAACCGAGAGCCGGAGGAUUUCCCUGAGCAGCCUGGAAGCCGAGCAGGCUCCGCACUGAAGGGCUGAGGACAGCAGAGGGCUCUGCUGCGAGAGGUUGGUCUGGACAGCCACGAAGUCCGCAGGAUUGUGCUCUCAAGGCACGCUCCCCUGUGGGAUGGUCCCCCCGCUCUGUCAGCGGGGGCCUGAGCAUCUUCUUCGCAGGCUGCCAGCGGCUGUCGUUGGGGUUGCUCCUGUCCUGAGCCCUGCUACUUUCCGUGAGCACUGCUGAGCACACGAUUCCCAUGUAUUGCCAUGAAAAAUCAGCCAUGUCUGGCAGAAGCGCCAAGCUUAUGCUCAGAAACCGGUUUCCGACAGCACUUGACCCGCUGGGGAAGGCAACCCCUCGGUGUUUUUGGCCGUGCCGUAGCUUUCCCCAGCCCGCCCGACAAAUUAGCCUACCUGUAGCUGCAUUUGUGCCUUUCCUAUAGGAAGUUUACGUUGAAGGCACGCCAGGCUGCGCUCCCUGGGCCGGGCACCGCUCUGGCACGCCGCGCCUCGUCUGCUGGGGAAGUUUGGCCGGCUCUGCUGGCACGAUAAUGUGUUUGCUGGGCUCUUACACUUGAAGGGAUGGGAUUUCUGCCGGUAUUUUAUGCUUAAAAGGAUACAGCAUUUUGUCAACACAGAAUGCAGUGUGCACCCUCCCAGCCUGUUGCCUGGGCUGUCAGCCAGGCAGCUCCUAAUAGCACCGAGGCAGGCAACGGAGGGUUGGAGUAUGUGAGCUGGGGAGAAGUGGUCUGCGCGUCGUGUCGCACGGGGAGCCUGGGAGCGCACAGGAGACGCGACGGUAAUCCUAAAAGAGAUCUUACUUCCCAAAGCCUCCGUGAGGGCUAACUUCAAGGUUUUGUAAUGUCAAGGUUUGGUAGCGUCAAGGUUUGAAAACGUCCAGGUUUGAAAAGAGCAAGAUUUUGCUAUCCCAAAGCGAGAAAAUAGCAAGAUUUUGCUGUUUUUGUAAUUUCAAGAUUGGAAAAACAUCAAGAUGCGAACACAUCAAGAUUGGAACACAUCAAGAUUUUCUGGUUUCCAGAUCUUUGUAACUUCACGAUUUUGUCAUUUCGAGAUUUGCUAAUUGCACGAUUUCCUAAUGUCAAGGCUCGGAAACGUGCACAUUUCCCAAUUUUAGGAUUUCCUAAGGGCUCUUCUCGCCCUCGGAGCUCCCCGUUCCCUGCCCGCUGCCCCCCCCCCCUCCGGCCGUGCCCCGCCGCCGGUGCGCGCCCAGCACCGCGCAGCGCCCGGGGGCGGAGCCUCGCAGCGGGCGGCGCGUCCCCAUUGGCCGCAGGGCUAUGGGUAUUUUACAUACCCCCUCCUCCGCGCGCCCUAUUGGCCGCGGCGCUCGGGCGCAUUUGCAUGUCCCCGCCCACCCCGCGCCGCGCUGCGGUGUGGGGCCGGCGGCGCGGCGCAGUGCAGGAGCCGGGCCGGGAGCGGGGCCGCGGCCGGCGGCGGGCAGCAGGCAGCAGGCAGCGGGCGGCUCCGGCGGCGCACGGCCAAGGGGAGCGGGGCUGCACGGCUCGGCUCGGCUCGGCAGGGGUCAGCACGGCUCGGCCCAGCGGGGCUGCCCCCUCCCCGUCCCCCGCUUUUCAUCCGCUCCGUGCCCGGGCGCCUUGG
ensembl:lncRNA